rnacentral:rRNA from 1 species
CAUUAUCGAAAUAAACCUGAUGAGUUGCUGCUGGUUCUCUAAGGAACAUGUGCACGCUUGUCAUCUUUAUAUUUCCACCUGUGAACACUUUGUAGACCUGGAAAUUAUCUCUGAAUGCUUUUUUGACAUUCAGGUUUGAGGAUUGACUCGUCCAGUCUCUCCUUGCGUUUCCGGGCCUAUGUUUUUUUUUCAUACACCCAUUUCUUGUUUUUAGAAUGUGAUAAAUGGCCUUUUGUGCCUAUAAACCUUUUAAUACAACUUUCAGCAACGGAUCUCUUGGCUCUCGCAUCGAUGAAGAACGCAGCGAAAUGCGAUAAGUAAUGUGAAUUGCAGAAUUCAGUGAAUCAUCGAAUCUUUGAACGCACCUUGCGCUCCUUGGUAUUCCGAGGAGCAUGCCUGUUUGAGUGUCAUUAAUAUAUCAACCUCUUCACAUUUUGUUUGUCGAGUGUUGGAUGUUGGGGGUUUUUCUUUUUGCGGGCCCCUUUCCUGAGGUCAGCUCCCCUGAAAAGCAUUAGCAGAACAAUUUGGCUGAUCUUGUUCAUUGGUGUGAUAACUGUCUACGCUAUUGACGUGAGGCAACCAAGUUCGGCUUCUAACUGCCCAUUGAUUUGGACAAAUUUCAUUAAUGUGACCUCAAAUCAGGUAGGACUACCCGCUGAACUUAA